CCUGGAGCACAGUGCCUCUGAGAGGAUCCCUGGGGAGGGAUGAUUUGGGGGUGCCGGAGAACCCAGAGCCCACGGGAAAAGGAAUGAGCGUCACGACUGUGGAGAAGUGGCAUGCUGAGUCCAGGAGCAGUGUGAGAUAGAAGUAGAGAGAAGGGAGACACUCUGUUCCUCAGGGUACCAGGCAACUCCUGUCUACAGUCAUCAGAGCACAUGAGCUCAAAUAACUGGCUGGAAGACCUCAGACAAGCUGUUCAAGUUCCUCGUCUCCUCAUCUGUAAACCACAGUGCAUAAUGGUUCCUGCCUCAAAUGGGUUGACACAUGUAAGCUCUUCGGAGAAUGCCUGCUAUGCACUAAGUGGUAAAUAUUAUCCACUAUUAACGAGAUUACUCUUACCUCAUCCGGCUGGCAUGGGGAUUGGUGUCAAGUACCUUGCUAGGAUCAUGGUGAGCACUCAGGAAGGCAAAUCGUGAUCCACCCUCGUCACAGUCACCAUCCUUACCAACCCACCCUCAUCAUUACCAUCAUCACUAUCAUCCCCCUGCCUCCAUCUCCAUCCCUACCACCAUCACCAGUCCAUCCAUUUGUCUUUCCUGAUGGGUGGAAAGAAUUAUGCCUGGUUCUUUGGUCUCAGGGUCAAGCUCGGGACUGAGCUCAGGAGAAUUAAGGAAGCAGGUCGUGGAUGAAGAUUGUAUGAGGGUUAGAACCUUCACCUCUGUGCCUGGAAGGCCACCACGUGGCCAUCGAUCUGGGGACAGGGGCAGAACUUCUAGCUUUGCAGAGGUCUCAUGUAGCCAGGCUAGCCUUCAACUUGUUUUGCUGAGGAGGAUGACUUUGAACUUUUGAUCCUCCUGCUUCUGCUUCCAGACUGUUGGGAUGGCAGGCGUUGUCUACCAUGACCGGUUGAUGCAGGGCUGGAGACAGAAUCUAGCGUCCCCUGAUAUGAAACAAGCUCUCUACUAAGGAAAUCA
rnacentral:sRNA from 1 species